GGCCCGGCCGCUGACGUUCAUGAAGGUCCCGACCGCGAUGUCCUUGGUGAAGUCCGAGCAGGUGGCCUCGUCGUCGGCGGCGGCGUCGGUUUGCUCGUCGUCGUCAUCCUCCAGCUCGGCGAAGCGGAUGAGCGUCCAAGCUCCGGGAUGCAGCCGCAGGCCGUAGAAGCGGAGCUGCACGGAGCUGUCCUCGGUCACCUGCAGCACUCCGUCGUCCCCGGUGCUGGCCGGCUUGUCGCUCGUCUCCAGCCGCAUGCCAAGCACCUGAGUGGCGGCGGCGGCGGCGGCGCUGGCGGUGCGGUCGCCGCCUCGUCCCGCACCGGCCGUCGCCGUCGCCGCUUCCGAGCGAGCUCCGUCGGCGCUGCACAGGAAGAGGAGGACAGUGACGAUGUAACCCUGUUGGCCGCUCCAUUCUCUCGCCAUGUUUGUUUGACUGCUCGCUCGACGGGCGGCGGUGACGUCAUUUCUCAUGUCCUGCAGGCCACGCCCCCGAGGACACCGCUCCUCCCUUCGGUCCCUUCCAGCACCUUUCAGGACACUCAUGGUCACCGUACAAGAUAAAAAGUUCGGAUACAAACUUACAGUGUGGUCGUCAGGGUGACGCGGGAAGCACUUCCACCGUGUAGCUGACCCGCUUGGACCGCAGGAUGCUGUAGCUGUUGUCGAAACACAAGACGUCUGCGCCAAAAGACAGAUAAUACCAUUUAUUUAAUUGAUGUAACUACCGUAUAAGAUCGACGUUUGUCAUUGGUACAUAACCGAGCCGUUUCAAGUGGGAGGGCAAAUGUCGCCACACCUCCCACUUCAAAUAGAUUGGAUGUCUCCUAACUGAUUGAAGUAAAUGAAUCGGCGUUUUUCAACCUUUUCUGAGUCACGGCACGUCUUUACAUUGGAAAAAAUCUCGCGGCACGUCACAAACCAAAAAUGUUUUAAAAUUACUUUCUGUACAGUAUAUUUAAUUGUAAAAUAAUUUCUUCAUCUUUAUACUUCGUUUGUGUGAAACAACUGAGCUUGUUUAGAUGAACACAAAGCCGAUACCCUGGCAGGAACUGAAGAAAUUCACACACAAAGCUAUUCUCUCAGUCUCUGUUUUCAUUUUUAUAGCAGUUAGGCUUGAAAAGCUCAGAAUUAUCAGACAGAAGGACUUAAGCAAUGUCUUUAACAGCCUCAGGGCUAUGGACUAUUUUGUUCACCUUAAUGAAAACACAGAAACAGGUCAUUUUUAGAAAAACUACAAAGGUAAAUGAGAAAGCCCUCAAAACCGGUUACCUUGUUGCUGAACUUGUAGCUAAUCGAAAAAGUCCCACACUGUGGCGGGGACAUUAAUACUGCCUGCAUGCAAAGGGAUUUUCAGCGAGAUGCUCGGCGACAUUGCUAAAAUCCCCGUGUCCGAUAAUUUGGAGCUUUUCAAGCCAAACUGCUAUUACAAAAAUAAAAACAGAGAGACAGAGCUGUUGAAGAAGAUUCCUGCCAGGAUAUCGGCUUUGUAUUCAUCUAAACAGGGUCAAGUUUCACACUGAGUAAGUACAAAUACUCAUAAAUUAUUAAAUGUCCCCAAAUGACCUGAUAUGACCAGGACAUGUCCCCCAAAAGUCCCUAAAUGACCGGAUAGGACCAGCACAUGUCCCCCAAGUGUCCCUAAAUGACCUGAUAUGACCAGUACAUGUUCCCCAAAUGUACCCAAAAUAUGACCUGAUAUGACCAGGACAUGUGGCCCAAAUGUCCCCAAAUGACUUGAUAUGACCAGGACAUGUCCCCCAAAUGACUUGAUAUGACCAGGACAUGUCCCCCAAAUGACCUGGUAUGACCAGGACAUGUCCCCUAAAAGUCCCCAAAUGACCGGAUAGGACCAGCACAUGUCCCCCAAAUGUCCCCAAGUGACCUGAUAUGACCAGUACAUGUCCCCCAAAUGUACCCAAAUGACCUGAUAUGACCAAGACAUGUCCCCCAUAUGUCCCCAAAUGACCGGAUAUGACCAGCACAUGUCCCCCAAAUGACCUGAUAUGACCAGGACAUGCCCCCCAAAUGACCUGAUAGGAUCAGGACAUGUCCCCCAACUGUCCCAAAAUGACCUGACAUGACCAGGACAUGUCCCCCAAAUGUCCUGAUAUGACCAGGACGUCCCCAUAUGUCCCCAAAGUAUGACCAGCACGUCCCCCAAAUGACCUGAUAUGACCAGGGAAUGUCCCCCAAAGGACCUGAUAUGAUCAGGACAUGUCCCCCAACUGUCCCCAAAUGACCUGAUAUGACCAGGACAUGUCCCCCAAAUGCCGCCAAAUGACCUGAUAUGAGACGCACAUGUCCCUCAAAUGACCUGAUAUGACCAGGACGUGUCCCACAACUGUCCCCAAAUGACCUGAUAUGACCGGAACAUGUCCCCAAAGGACCUGAUAUGACCAGAACAUGUCCCCCAAAUGACCUGGACAUGUCCCCGAAAUGUUGCCAAAUCAACAGGAAGUGACCUGUUAUAACCAGGACGCCUGGUUAUAACACCACGACCACCAAAUGUUGCCAAAUCAACAGGAAGUCACCUGAUAUUGUCCCCGAAAUGUCCCCAAACCAACCUGGGCAGGGCUAAGAUCUGUAUCUCCACACAGCAAAGCCCCAUAGUAAUUUCUUCAGAAAUUGCAGUUUCCAGUUAAAUAUACUGUACAGAAAGUGCCACGACAGUUUUUCCAAUUUGCCGUGACCCAGAAAAGGUUGAAAAACAGUGGUAUAGAGCAGGGGUUUUCAACCCAGUCCUCAAGGCACACUGUGGGUCCUGGUUUUUGUUCCAGCCGAUCCAGCAGAGACAGUUGAACCAAUGAGGCUUCUGCUAAAACAAGCCACACCUGACUGCAAUCAACUGAUUGCACUUGUAAAACACCAGAUUGGGGAAAAAGUGUUGUCAUCUUGUUUGGUAAGAAUGAAAUCCUGCACCCACAGUGUGCCUUAGUGGAAUAGGUUGGGAACCCCUGGUAUAGAGUACACUUCCUUGUAUACAGUAUAACCAAUAAUUUUAUGUUGCGUCAAGUUUUUUCCCCCCAAAUAUAUGAAUAUGGUUCAUGAAAUGAGGACAUUCCAAAUAAAGAGACUGUGCGUUUGUGUUGAUUUGUUUGCAUUUGCACGCCACACUCACACACUCCAGGUUCCGGACAGGUGAUGGCGUUGUCUUCUGGCACCAGGUGGGCGUUGUAGCGCUGACUGGGAAGCACUGGUGACACGUCGUCCGUCUCCCCCUCCACACGCCUGUACACGCCGAAGCCGAUGUCGGACCCUUCGCUGGCGAACUGCCACCUGAGAGGGCGCCGCGUCGAUGGGGUUUCAGGAAUUUUUGCAGCUAUCUUUACACAGAGACGACGGACCUCAAUAGGCUGCGGGGGGCGACCACACGAUACUCCAGCCGCAUGACGCUGCCACGGCCGACGGUCGCCACCGCGUCGUACUGGACCUUGAUGGAAUUCUGGACGUAGAAAGACCGGGGCACCGUGCCACCGUAGUUGAUCUGCGGGCAGACGGACGGCGUCACAUUCCAAGUGAAAUCAUGGCGGAGGCAGCGCUCACCAUGGUUCUGCAGCGAGGGUCACCGUCCGGGUCGGUCCGCGUUCCACCGUAUACCCCCGGAAGCUGCGAAGCGUCCACGUGUUGACGAAGGACUUCUUGCCAGUUACCUAGCCGAACAGUGACACCUCACUUGUUAUUUGUUGGAUUUGGUGUUUGCCCAAUACAAAAUAAUGACCAUCGCUCCUGGUUCACUUUUCAAAAACAGGUAGUCCCCGAGUUACGAGCAAGUUCGGUUCCUACACUCGUGACGUAAACCGAAUUUCCACGUAAGUCGAAAUGAACCCUUUAAGUACCUUAUAAUAACGAUCUAAAAGUCUAAAAGUAUUGGACUUGGUUAAAAGUGCAUGUGACACCAUAAAAAAAAUCUUAAAUAGCAUUAUUUUGUGAAUCAAAAUCGUAUUUUGAGAUGAUUCGACUAUAUACAACAAUUUGGCAAAGCGCAGAUGAUGAGAAAUGAGUCUUUAAAUCUGUCGUUUAGUUCCUCCAGUCAUUAUAGCACUCUGGCGCCUCCAUCUGGGUGAUGAUGAGUAGCGAUUUCAGCAGAUUUAGAAUUCAGCCCAAUGGAGGAGGAAGAUUCAGAAUGAGAAAAAAGGUGACAGAGAGCAGACUGCAUAAUGUCAUCAUUGUUUUAAUCUCGCUACGAAGCAAUGGCAUAGCCUUAUAUGGGUGCCAGUUGAAUGUCAAUACGCUGUAAAGGUAAGUGUAUGGUCAAAAAUCACAGCAUGUGAUGUAAAGCACUUUGAAUUGCCUUGUGUUGAAUUGUGCUAUAUAAAUAAAUUUGCCUUGCCUUGCCUUGAUAUGAAUGGAAAAUUUACACGUGCAUAGCUGUCAAUGGCAUGGACAUGCAUGGCCUGCAAAAAUGCCAUUUACUCCCCAAAAAAGCCAAAUUCCCCCCCACCUAAAAAAAUGCCGCAAACCAAAAUCCAUUUUGCCACAUGCCAAAAAAAUGCCCCAUGGCAAAAAAAAAAAAAAAAAAAAAGCCACAUGGCAAAAAAAUGCCACAUGUCAGAAUACAUUUUGCCACAUGGCAAAAAAAUGCCACAUGUCAGAAUACAUUUUGCCACAUGGCAAAAAAAUGCCACAUGUCAGAAUACAUUUUGCCACAUGGCAAAAAAAAAAAUGCCACAUGUCAAAAUCCAUUUUGUCACAUGACAAAAAAAUGCCACAUGUCAAAAUCAAUUUUGCCACAUGGCAAAAAACAUUUUGCCACAUGUCAAAAAAAUGCCACAUAGAAAAAUCCAUUUUUUUCCAGGUAGGCCAAAAAAAAAGGCCACGUCAAAAUAUAUUUUGCCACAUGACAUAAAAAUGCCACAUAGAAAAAUCCAUUUUGCCACAUGGCCAAAAAAUGCCACAUGUCAAAAUACAUUUUGCCACAUGGCAAAAUCCAUUUGCCACACGGCAAAAAAAAAAUUCCACAUGGCAAAAUCCAUUUUGCCACACGGCAAAAUAAAUGCCACGUAAAAAUACAUUUUGCCACGUGACAAAAAAAUGGCACAUUUCAAAAUACAUUUUGCCACAUGGCAGAACAAAUGCCACGUGGCAAAAUGAAUUUUGCCACCUGGCAAAAAAAAAAAAAAAAAUACCACAUGGCAAAAUCCAUUUUGCCACAUGGCAAAUAGCACUUUUCAUUCUCGGCCCUGCUGGCCUGGGUUAACCUGGCACAAACGAGCACGCAUAAAAACACAGCCUCACCCCCUAGGACGAUCAGCUUGCUUCGCGUCUCUUCGCACAGGAAGUGCUUGAUCAAGUUGUAGGCGACGGGAAAGAGUUUGGGAGCUGUGAGGAUGAUGGCAAAGGUCAGUAAAAGUGCGUCCGUCGACAAACCUCCAACAUACCUUUUAUGAGAAAAACCCUCUUGAGCGCUUCUGGGUAGUUGUCCUCGAACAUGGUGAGGAUCUGCGACAAGCCGGCACGUCCGUCAGACGGGUCAAAGGAGACGACCGACAAAGGACAAACCUCGCCGUAAGUCUCGAUGGCAGGCUUCCACAUGUGCUUGAAGCCCAGGCCCUCGCAGUCGUAGAUCAGCGUGAUGGACUCCACGUUGAUUCCCAACUGCCACCGCGGAAGAAAAAGGUUUUGACGAGAAACACUACAACUAUCAAGGCUUGUGGAGAUUGCAACCCUAGCACAAAAAAUGGAGCAAAGAGGAGCAAAGAACAUAGGAGGCCUAAGAAGAAAGGACAUGAUAGGAAACACAAGAAAGGAAAAAAGACAAGAGAAGGAAGAACAAGUAGAGGAAACAAGGAAAGAUGGACAGGAAGAAGGGACGUAAGAAGAAUAGGAAUGGCGCAUAAGUAAUGAAGGAAAUGGUACCUUUCUCGUCGGCACCGUUUAACUGUUUGCAUUAUUCUAACACACUUAAUAUAAUCAAUCGGGGGAAUAGUAUCAUUUCUCGUAUGUACUGUUUGACUGUUUAUAUUACUCUAACACACCCAAUAUAAAAUAAAUCGCACUCAUACCAUAGUUUAAGGAAAACAAGCAGAAUAUAGGGCAUAAGAGAUACAUGACGCCUUCUUAUCACGGAAGCCCAACGUGUGCGUCAUGCCCCCGACUGAGCAAGAUUGACGCUGACAUCUACAAGCCCACGUCUGCACUACCAACUCUCGCAAUCAGUUCUCCCGGACAGUCCAGAACAAAUGGCGGGACACCCUGUCCCAACACAAGGAACACCGGAAAGCGCCCGAUAUCCAACUAAUAACACGACUGACAAGACUCCAUGAGCCCCUUUGACACUGAGGUGGCAAAAUCCAUAACCUUCGUAACUCCCGAAUCCUCCUGUCCAAUCCACAAACAGACAUUAAUCCUAAACAAAUCCCCAAACACACCCUUCUUCCAGCCCACGACCUGCCCCGCAAGAGCCUUCAAAAGAGUGAAUGUUUAACUAAGCAUUGUCAUUUAUUUCUCGGGAACCUUUUGUUGACUUCUGAUAUGGUGACCUCGGAUCCUCGUCUGGGUCCCUCUGUGUUGUACUAUUGCUAUCGACAAGAGUGCAAAAAGGACAUGAUAAGAAACACAAGGAAUGAAAGAUAAGAAAGAAGGAAGGAUGUUAGGAAGAAAGGAGGGAGGGAAGGACAUGUGAAAGGAUGACAAAAUAUGACAGGGAAAGAAAUAAAAGAACGAACGUCACAGAAAAGGGCUGCAAGGUUCAUGAGAGGAAAAGAAAAAAUGUGCCUAAAAAGCAAGCAUAAAAGAGAGACAACUGGGGCAAAAACCUUGCGGGACUGCUCUCGACAUUCCCUCUGCAGCAUCUCGAUGUUCCUGAUCUUAGUCCUCAUCAAGUCCUGCUUGCUAGCCGACAUCAGAAGGCCUUUGGGGUCCAGCGGGCCCACCAGGUCGUACCAGAUGGGACUGCCCUCCUUGUCGUGGCCGCACAUGCCCCCCGAGAGGUAGCGCGCGAUCACCUGAACGCAGCGCCGCAUUUGCCGCGUCACUAGACCGAAGGGGGCGAGCCGCUGUCACUAACCUCCGGAGGCAUCCAGUCCUCGAUCAGACUGUCCACUUUCAUGUCCUUCCUGAAGUCCACGUGCUGCGCAUAAACACAAGUCAGCUGAAAACCCUCCAAAAAGGGUCGAUACCUUCUCUCGCUUACCUUCCUAAUCAUCGCUUCAGCUUUGGGAAUGUUGAAGUUGCGGGCUGGAAUCCAGAAGAAAAAAAAAAACAAACUAAGACAAACAGUUCUAGAAAAUCAUCACAAUAAAACAAAGUCAACAUGGUGUACCAGGACUGCCCAAAUCAAAGAAAUACAAUAUAUACAGUGAGGAGGAGAAGUUUUUGCACCCCUUGUGAUUUUGCAAGUUCACCCACUUAAAAGAUAGACAGAGGUCUGAAAUUUCAAUCAUAGAUGCAUUUCCCCUUUGCCGAAAAGGUUUCCACCCCCAUACUUCACAGUGGGGAUGGUGUUAUUGGGAUUGUACUCAACCUUCUUCUUCUUUCACAUGACGAGUAAGGUUUCCACAAAAAAAGCUCUACUUUGGUCUCAUCUGACCACAUGAUCUUCUCCCAUGACCCCUCUGCAUCAUUCAGAUGGUCCUUGGCAAACUUCAGAUAGGCCUUCACAUGUACUGGCUUCAACAGGGGAACCCUCUGAGCACCAUAGUGCUCUACUGACAAGUAUCAUUUGAAACUGUGCAUCCAGCUUUCUUCAGGUUAUUGAGCAGCUCCUGCCGUGUAGUUCUUGGCUGAGCCCUGACUUUUUUCAUCAUGAGUGAUGCCGCACGAGGAGAAAUUGUACAUGGAGCCCUAGUCCGAGGUAGAUUAUCAGCAGUAUUGGGCACGUUACUUUAAAAAAAUUAGUUAUAGUUACUCACUACUUCUUCCAAAAAGUAACUGAGUUAAUAACUGAAUUACUCUAUAGUAAAAGUAACUAGUUACUAGUGAUGUCAACAAUAAUCGAUGCGGCGAUGCAUCCCGAUGCGGGGCAUGGAUGAUUUGAUCCAAGCGGGCAACAAGCCGAAUUGAUUCAGCGCAUUUUAAAAUAUAUAAGGACGUUGAAAAAUCUUCCCUGCGCAAUUCCGGUGAUGCAACGGAUUUGGUUUCCCCAUUUGUAUUAUUAUCCUCAUGUUUCAUUUUUUACACACCGCAUAACUCUGGUCAAGUUUCCCACCAACCUUGUAGAAGCCAAAAUGUCUCCAGAUGUCUGCUUUCAAUGUCUUAGGUGCGUCAAUAAUCUUUUUCGCUCCCUCUUUCUCCGCUUCAGCCAUUGUUAUGUUAUGUCCUAUCUCUUAGAGGUUAGGGCCCGACCCGACCCGUUAAGCAUUCAAGUUCCGGUUGGGUCGGGUCAGCCGACGCACCAGACUAAUAAAUUAUAUAUAUAUAAAAAAAAAAAACGCACAUGAACGCCGUGGCCCGCAUGUUUCUUUUGUAUUAAACUUUCUCAGCGUUAUUUCCUUGUGCAAAUGCUUUUAUAAUGAUCAUAAAAAUAUGUAGACUAUUCAAACAUUAAGAAAACUUGCGUUUUUUCUGCCAACUGAGAAUUCAUUACGAAGGACACUUUUAUUUAUGCACACAAAGGGAACAGAAAUGUGAUCCUUUUGAAUCUUCUCCUCUGUGUGUCUGCAAAACCUAUGUUUUUUUUUUAUGUUAAACUUUCCCAGCGUUAUUUCGUCGUGUAAAUGCUUUUAUAAUGAGCAUAAAAAUAUGUAGACUAUUUAAACAUUAAGAAAACUUGCGUUUUUUUUCUGCCAACUGAGAAUUCGUUACGAAGGACACUCUUAUUUAUGCACACAAAGGCAACAGAAAUGUGAUCCUUUUGAAUCUUCUCCUCUGUGUGUCUGCAAAACCUAUGUUUUUUAAAAAAAAUUUAUAUUAAACUUUCCCAGUGUUAUUUCGUUUUGUAAAUGCUUUUAUAAUGAUCAUAAAAAUGUAGACUAUUUAAACAUUAAGAAAACUUGCGUUUUUUAUGCCAACUGGAAGAAAUGAAAAUAAAUUGUUGCUGCUGCGUUUUUUUUUUCCGCGUCACUCCCAAAAAAAUGUAAGAAAAAAAAUCGGGUGUUUCGGGCUGGGCCUGCAGACCUAGUUAAAUGAUCGGGCUUCAGUACCAGCUGGCCGUGUCGGGUCAGGCUGGAUUUUUCAUGCUCGAUCUAACCUCUAUUGCACAUAUACAGUAUAGUGGGCUAGGCCUACAUUUUACUUUUGUUCUACAUUGCAAUUUAGUUGAUGUUUUGUUUGCAACUGAACUGAUCCCUGGAUUGAUAUUGCGAUAAAGAUGCUGCUGCACUACAAUAUUUUCUUUGUCAUUUUCUUUAAUAUUGCAAACAGGAAUAAUCAUUGACUCAGAAACUGUGACGUCAAAUGUAGGGAAAAGCAGCUUUAUUUGUGCUCAAUAGUGUACGUAUUUGCUUUUUGGAGCUUUUCCCCUUUGGCCCUUUGACAAACACCACAAAGUCAAAGCCAAGCAGCAAAUGGUGGCAGGCAGUGUGACGACAACAGACAUCCAAUCCAUUUCAAGUGUAUGGGAAUAAAACAGUAUUUAGAAAACCCAUUGGCAGUGUAUCAAAUACUUGU